AGAGUUUGAUCCUGGCUCAGGACGAACGCUGGCGGCGUGCCUAAUACAUGCAAGUCGAGCGGAGUUACGGAGGAGCUUGCUCCGAAGUAACUUAGCGGCGGACGGGUGAGUAACACGUAGGCAACCUGCCCGUAAGACCGGGAUAACCCACGGAAACGUGAGCUAAGACCGGAUAAUCGGUUUCUUCGCAUGAAGAGACC
rnacentral:rRNA from 1 species